GGAAGGUUCACAAUCAAAGAAGUCGCUCCAAAUGGCCAACCAAUUGCUCCCAAGCAGACCAAGGACACAUUUAUACAUCAGUGCGGAGUUAUUGUUAGGGACAGCGUCCCGAUCAACAUCCAAGAAUGGAAUAAGAAGGACCCUGAAGUUUCUUAUGUCCACGAUAGACAGAAAGAUGAUCUUUGGAACUCGCCGAUGACAAAUUUCAGCCUACCGCCAGAGGAGGAUCCGCAUAGCCAGUUAUUCUCCCGAAGGUCAAGGCGUUUGCCCUUAAGAAGAUGGCAGAACUAUUCAAGAACUAGAAGAAAGAUUUGA
rnacentral:rRNA from 1 species